GAUGAACGCUGGCGGCGUGCCUAAUACAUGCAAGUCGAGCGAACGGACGAGAAGCUUGCCUCUCUGAUGUUAGCGGCGGACGGGCGAGUAACACGUGGAUAACCUACCUAUAAGACUGGGAUAACUUCGGGAAACCGGAGCUAAUACCGGAUAAUAUUUUGAACCGCAUGGUUCAAAAGUGAAAGACGGUCUUGCUGUCACUUAUAGAUGGAUCCGCGCUGCAUUAGCUAGUUGGUAAGGUAACGGCUUACCAAGGCAACGAUGCAUAGCCGACCUGAGAGGGUGAUCGGCCACACUGGAACUGAGACACGGUCCAGACUCCUACGGGAGGCAGCAGUAGGGAAUCUUCCGCAAUGGGCGAAAGCCUGACGGAGCAACGCCGCGUGAGUGAUGAAGGUCUUCGGAUCGUAAAACUCUGUUAUUAGGGAAGAACAUAUGUGUAAGUAACUGUGCACAUCUUGACGGUACCUAAUCAGAAAGCCACGGCUAACUACGUG
rnacentral:rRNA from 1 species